rnacentral:rRNA from 1 species
UCCAUUUGUUUGCUUGCUAACACAUGGUGAGAGUGGCGCACGGGGGCGUAACGCGUGAGCAACCUACCCAUAUCAGGGGGAUAGCCCGAAGAAAUUCCGAUUAACACCGCAUGGACUACGAGAUGGCAUCAUCAAACAGUUAAAUAUUUAUAGGAUAUGGAUGGGCUCGCGUGACAUUAGCUAUUUGGUGAGGUAACGGCUCACCAAGGCGACGAUGUCUAGGGGCUCUGAGAGGAGAAUCCCCCACACUGGUACUGAGACACGGACCAGACUCCUACGGGAGGCAGCAGGAAGGAAUAUUGGUCAAUGGACGGAAGUCUGAACCAGCCAUGCCGCGUGCAGGAUGACUGCCCUAUGGGUUGUAAACUGCUUUUGUCGAGGAAUAAACCUCUCUACGUGUAGAUAGUUGAAUGUACUCGAAGAAUAAGGAUCGGCUAACUCCGUGCCAGCAGCCGCGCUAAUACGGAGGAUCCGAGCGUUAUCCGGAUUUAUU